CCAAAGCGACUUACAAAUAAAUACAAUAUUUACAAUACAAGCAGUCAAAUCAACAACAGGGCAACAAUAUGUAAAUGUCGAGACCAGUCCAGCUAGUCUUGCGUAGCACACAUAACCAUGAUUAUUCAUAAUAGCUAUAGAAUAGGAAUGAUUACUAUUAGUGAGAUUAGUACAAUUGACAACCUAUAAAAAUUCAACAGGCUUAAUUAGUCAAAUUUGACCAAAAUGCAUUGCCAAUUAGUAGUAGUAGCAGCAGUGGAGUAUUCUUAGUUGUGAGCUGUGGCUUAGCAGUAGUGUGGUUAUUCAAGCAAGCAUACCACAUUGGAACCGAGAGUAAUUUGGUUCCAUGAUACAUGUUUUGAUUAGUGAUAAACAUCACUUGUUAUCCUUGCAAGUCUGGUCACUCCUUAAGUAUUCAUAGUUGUGUUUAUUUUGUUUCUAAUCUAACUAUCUAAGAAAUAUUUGAAAUGUGUUUUUGAUGUUCACAGAUUGCUCCUACCACACUCGCCUAGAGAGUGAGAAAGGUUAGACAGUCAUAAAGGAACUGCAGAGCUUAGGCAGUAUGCAGAGUGUAAUAUAGGAUUUAGAAACUUCCUUGUGUGUUGGCAAAUACAUAUUAUACAUACCAUAAUUGUUAGGUAGAUACUGUUUAUGUGUUCAGUCUUUUUGAAUUACAGUUUAUGAAGGAGUGUCUACUGAAAAUCAAUGAAACUCAAUGCCUAUAACCAGACAUAAUAGCCUAAUGCUAAGAAUGGAUUUUUUUGUUGUUGUCUUUUCUUACAUUAGGGCAAAGCAGAAAUGCUGGUUGACUGGGAGCCCUGUCCAGUAUGUGGUGAGCAGUGGGCCCAUUCCUGGCAGCCAAAGGAUUCACUCCAAAAUAAUGAAAAUCAAUAAAAUGUAUGUUUAGAACUCUAAACAUUUUGGUUUCAGUCUAUUUAUUAAAUUGUUUCUGUGCUGCAUUUGAAGUCAUAUCUCAUCUUUCUGUAGUAGUGAAAAGGGGAACAUCUCCAACAAUGUGACCCGGAGUUUAAUCUCAAAAGGGAAUGUACUAGAAAUGUACUUAAUCCAACUCAAUUUUCUUUUUCAGAUGUUAUUCAAAAGCAUGCUUUUUAUAUUUCAUGAUUAAUAAUUGCACUGUUAUUUUAUUACAGUUGACAUGUAAUUUGAUUUCAUUCAGUUCUGUUUUCUGUGCUUUUCAAGUUCACUUAACCUCACAGUCCACUGUUAAGAAAUACAACCUUAUGGCUUGUUUGACAUGAAGCUUAAAUAUGAAGUUCAACAAAAAAAGACUGACCUUCUUUAUACUCACACAUUAUAUCAUAUCUUUUACAUUGUCUCUCUCACUCUCUUCUACUUCAAACUCAUCAGCU